CUGUGAAGAUGCAGUGUACCCGCGGCAAGACGGAAAGACCCCGUGAACCUUUACUAUAGCUUGACACUGAACAUUGAGCCUUGAUGUGUAGGAUAGGUGGGAGGCUUAGAAGUGUGGACGCCAGUCUGCAUGGAGCCGACCUUGAAAUACCACCCUUUAAUGUUUGAUGUUCUAACGUUGACCCGUGAUCCGGGUUGCGGACAGUGUCUGGUGGGUAGUUUGACUGGGGCGGUCUCCUCCUAAAGAGUAACGGAGGAGCACGAAGGUUGGCUAAUCCUGGUCGGACAUCAGGAGGUUAGUGCAAUGGCAUAAGCCAGCUUGACUGCGAGCGUGACGGCGCGAGCAGGUGCGAAAGCAGGUCAUAGUGAUCCGGUGGUUCUGAAUGGAAGGGCCAUCGCUCAACGGAUAAAAGGUACUCCGGGGAUAACAGGCUGAUACCGCCCAAGAGUUCAUAUCGACGGCGGUGUUUGGCACCUCGAUGUCGGCUCAUCACAUCCUGGGGCUGAAGUAGGUCCCAAGGGUAUGGCUGUUCGCCAUUUAAAGUGGUACGCGAGCUGGGUUUAGAACGUCGUGAGACAGUUCGGUCCCUAUCUGCCGUGGGCGCUGGAGAACUGAGGGGGGCUGCUCCUAGUACGAGAGGACCGGAGUGGACGCAUCACUGGUGUUCGGGUUGUCAUGCCAAUGGCACUGCCCGGUAGCUAAAUGCGGAAGAGAUAAGUGCUGAAAGCAUCUAAGCACGAAACUUGCCCCGAGAUGAGUUCUCCCUGACUCCUUGAGAGUCCUGAAGGAACGUUGAAGACGACGACGUUGAUAGGCCGGGUGUGUAAGCGCAGCGAUGCGUUGAGCUAACCGGUACUAAUGAACCGUGAGGCUUAACCUUACAAC
rnacentral:rRNA from 1 species